rnacentral:rRNA from 1 species
UACAGAGGUCUCAAGCGUUGUUCGGAUUCAUUGGGCGUAAAGGGUGCGUAGGUGGUGGGGUAAGUCGGAUGUGAAAUCUCCAGGCUCAACCUGGAAACUGCAUUGGAAACUACCUUGCUAGAGGGUUUGAGGGGGGACUGGAAUACUUGGUGUAGCAGUGAAAUGCGUAGAUAUCAAGUGGAACACCAGUGGCGAAGGCGAGUCCCUGGAAAAUACCUGACACUGAGGCACGAAAGCUAGGGGAGCAAACAGG